UUUUUUUUUUUUCUUUCAGUUUUUAUGGCCCUUUUUUUUUUUUUCUUUUUUUCUUUCAGUUUUUAUGGCCGCAACUGCAGCAUAUGGAAGUUCCCAGGACUGAGAUUGAUAGCGUAGAAAUUCAAUAAGUACACAUUGCCUAUCAAAUUAUAGGUUAAGCAAUGAUUCAAGAGCCUAAUUAUGGAAAAUUUAACAUGAAAUGUUUCAACCCUAAGAUAUCCUUAAAGAAGGAUAUGAAAUUCACAGAGGAAAAACAGAUAGAUAGAUAGAUAGAUAGAUAGAUAGAUAGAUAGAUAGAUAGAUAGAUAUACAGAUUAAAGGAGAUACAUGAUUUAUCUAAUCCUUUCCCAUAAAUAAACUGACUUACAAAAGUUCAGGGAAAGCAAACACCCUUUAAACUAAGCCAACUGGAAACAAAAAUCACCUUUUCAAAUGAAGAAUUAUAUGUUCAAAGUAUCAAAAUUAUUAUCUUGAAAUGAUCAAAGAGCAGAUGUGUUUUUUAUCCUUAGUCUAAUUUGACCAUUCUGUUUUCCUAAAUAUCAUCAGGUUCAUUCUUUAAAUAAUUUUUUUUUGUCCUUGAAAUAAUUUAUUUAAAAGACUAUAUGCUAAAUAUCAUGCAGUCGAACAAGGAAACACAAAGAGGCACCUUCGGCCUAAGGAAGCUUCCUGUGUGUGUGUGUGUGUGUGUGUGUGUGUGUGUGUGUGUGUGUGUGUGUGUGUAUCCAGGGCUGUGUCAAGAGUGCUACGGAGACAACAUUCAUAAAAAAAGAAACAGCAGAAAUAUCAUUUGGGUCUGUAAUGCUUUUACUUGUUUUGCUUUCUCUAUCAGUAGGGCUGCUUUCAGCUGCAUGUAAAGGAAACCCCACUGUAUUGCUUUGCUGAGGCUGCCAAAACAACAAAAUACCAGAUGAGGUGGCUUAAACAACAGAAAUUUGUUUUUCUCCAGUUCUGGAGGCUGGAAGUCCAAGAUUGAGGGUUGUCUUCUGGGAACUCUCCGUGGCCUAAAGACAGCCACCUCCUCACUGUGUCCUCACACGGCCUCCCUCUGUAGGCAGACACCCCCCCCCGCGGCCCCGCCUUCUCUCCUGUGUCCUAAUAGCUCUUCUUAUAAGGACACCAGUCCGAUUGGAUUCAGUCUAACGGCUUCAUUUUAACCUUAUUUAUCUCUUUCAAGGCCUCAUCUCCAAAUACAGUCACAUUCUGAGGGACGGAGGGGUAGAGCUUCCACCAAUAAAUUUUGGACGGACACCGUUCGUGCCAUAACACUCACCAAAGUGACUUUACCAAACAGCAGUUUAUUUUUCUCAGUUAACAGGAAAUUCAUAGGGAAGUUGAUGAGGGCCGGUGGAGCCCCUCAGGUAAGGCCCCCAGAUGCUGGGCACCUCCAUUUCCUAUUCUACCAACCUCAGUGCAUGGCUCUGUCAUAACCACAGACACGUGUGUUGUGUGGUUGCAAGUGUCCAGGUGCCAGGAAGGAAGGGAAGCAAUCAGGAAACAGCCUGAGUCUCGAUAGUCAGAACUGGGUGAGCCCUCCUGGCUGCAGGGGAGGCCAAGGAGGGGAGUGUUUUCAAGUGGGC
rnacentral:lncRNA from 1 species